rnacentral:tRNA from 1 species
GCCUUGGUAGUGUAGCGGCCUAUCAUGAAGCCCUGUCGAGUCAAUUUAUCUGACAUAGAAAGGCUUCGACCCGGGUUCAAAUCCCGGCCAGGGCG